CCUACGGGAGGCAGCAGUGGGGAAUUUUGGACAAUGGGCGAAAGCCUGAUCCAGCAAUGCCGCGUGAGUGAAGAAGGCCUUCGGGUUGUAAAGCUCUUUUGUCAGGGAAGAAACGGUGAAAGCUAAUAUCUUUUGCUAAUGACGGUACCUGAAGAAUAAGCACCGGCUAACUACGUGCCAGCAGCCGCGGUAAUACGUAGGGUGCAAGCGUUAAUCGGAAUUACUGGGCGUAAAGCGUGCGCAGGCGGUUUUGUAAGUCUGAUGUGAAAUCCCCGGGCUCAACCUGGGAAUUGCAUUGGAGACUGCAAGGCUAGAAUCUGGCAGAGGGGGGUAGAAUUCCACGUGUAGCAGUGAAAUGCGUAGAUAUGUGGAGGAACACCGAUGGCGAAGGCAGCCCCCUGGGUCAAGAUUGACGCUCAUGCACGAAAGCGUGGGGAGCAAACAGGAUUAGAUACCCUGGUAGUCCACGCCCUAAACGAUGUCUACUAGUUGUCGGGUCUUAAUUGACUUGGUAACGCAGCUAACGCGUGAAGUAGACCGCCUGGGGAGUACGGUCGCAAGAUUAAAACUCAAAGGAAUUGAGGNGUGAGAGUAGACGACGACGACGACGAGGGAGGAGG
rnacentral:rRNA from 1 species